rnacentral:rRNA from 1 species
UACGGAGGGUGCAAGCGUUGUCCGGAAUCAUUGGGCGUAAAGAGUUCGUAGGCGGUAUGUUAAGUCUGGUGUUAAAGACCGAAGCUCAACUUCGGAUAGGCACUGGAUACUGGCAAACUUGAAUGUGGUAGAGGUAAAGGGAAUUCCUGGUGUAGCGGUGAAAUGCGUAGAUAUCAGGAGGAACAUCGGUGGCGAAAGCGCUUUACUGGGCCAUAAUUGACGCUGAGGAACGAAAGCCAGGGUAGCAAAUGGG